GGUGCCGGGCGGCCAUGUUGUCUCGGCAGGCGCAGUCUCUGCUCUAUCUGCGGUUCGGCUGAGGGAUAUCACUGACUACAUCUAGCUCAGGUUUGCGUGGGGGCUCUCUGGCCUCGUUUUCCUGGCAGCGUGGGUGAGAAGGGGCAGGCGGACACUUACUGGCUUUGGAGAGGAGCUGCCGCAGCUGAAGAGACCAGAAAAAGGUGGAGUCAAGCGACUGGAGCUACAGAAGAGGAAGGGAGGAAAGGACAGACAGACGGAUAAAGAAGCGCCUGAACUGUACAAUUGCCUGGCAGCGCAGAUAGUUGGAGCUCCAGACACUGCACAGAAAUGGUGUUGGGAUCUGCAGGGACAGGUGGGACCUGCUGCAAUUGCUCAUGAAUGUGAACUGGACUUGAUGGACUUGAAGGACUUGAAUGAAACCAGACUGACUGUGUAUGGUUUUCUUCCCAACUCCAAUUCCAACCUCCAUGCUCGGCACCAAUGAACAAGAGACCUUGUGCUGUUUUCCAGAUGUCAGUGGCUGCCAGUUAGCGGAGAACAUCACUUAGGGUUCAGACUGGAGUUGGACUUAAUGUUGAAUGGCUGAUAUAAUGGGCUCCAUAAAAUUGUUCAUCAACAGACAGUCGGUGAACUUCACAAAGUCAGGCGUUUGAGUCCUCGCGAAAUCAUCGACAGACAGUCUUUGAAUCCUGGUGAAAUCUCCCUUGAGAGGCGUCUGUUGCCUAUCGUUGGCGUGGCGACCUGGUUCAGGAACGGCAUGGCAACCGACCCCAGGUCGCUCGGUCCAUCAGCUCGCGGACACCAACGUGGUGGACGGCAAAUGGCGUUUAUUGGUGAGUGACAUAGCAUUAUAUAGCUUGGGUUUACAACGUCACUUCCGUCUGCUUACGUCAUAAACUAAACGCUACUGGGAGAGGGGCCCUAUCUUUCCGUACAGCGCGAUAUCUUCCGGCCGCCAGACCCUAACUACAUUUCCCCCCUCCCUAUGCAUGACUAAAUUAGCUAAAAUAUAAUAUUCCUAAAAAAAAAUUUUUUGUUUUGUUUUAAUUCUAUACUUUAUAACAAUCUUAAAAAGUAUAUAUCAUAAAUUUGAAUAAAAAACAUAAGGUACAGUGAACAGGUGGAAAUUAGGGGAUAACUGGUAAUAAUGGGGUGUAAUUUGGGGUAACUAGGGAUAACUGGGAGUAACACAGAGUAAAUACAUUCUUAAAGCAGUUGUUGGUGUUCUACCAACAUAAUGUUGACCUUCUCUAGCCGGCUUUUGACAAACGA